rnacentral:rRNA from 1 species
GACAGAGGGUGCAAACGUUGUUCGGAAUUACUGGGCGUAAAGCGAGUGUAGGCGGUUCUCAAAGUCGGAUGUGAAAGCCCCGGGCUCAACCCGGGAAGUGCACCCGAUACUGGAGAGCUAGAGUGUCGGAGAGGUUGGUGGAAUUCUCGAUGUAGAGGUGAAAUUCGUAGAUAUCGAGAGGAACACCGGUGGCGAAGGCGGCCAACUGGACGAACACUGACGCUGAGACUCGAAAGCGUGGGGAGCAAACAGG